UGCGUAGGCGGGGUAAUUAGUCAGUGGUGAAAUCCUGCGGCUUAACCGUAGAACUGCCAUUGAUACUGUUGCCCUUGAGUAUAGUUGAAGUGGGCGGAAUAUGUAAUGUAGCGGUGAAAUGCAUAGAGAUUACAUAGAACACCAAUUGCGAAGGCAGCUCACUAAGCUAUCACUGACGCUGAGGCACGAAAGCGUGGGUAGCGAACAGGAUUAGAUACCCUGGUAGUCC
rnacentral:rRNA from 1 species